GGUCCGGUAGCUCAGCUGGAUAGAGCAUCUGCCUUCUAAGCAGACGGUCAGGGGUUCGAAUCCCCUCCGGAUCACCA
rnacentral:tRNA from 1 species